AUGGACGCGAGGCAGCAGGCCGGCGGUGCGGCCCUGUGCGCCAACGGCUGCGGCUUCUUCGGCGGCGCCGCGACCAGCGAUCUCUGCUCCAGAUGCUACAAGGAGCAGCAGCUGCUCGACGUCGUGGCCUUUGAUGACGCCGUCAUGUCCGGCCUCCGAUCGCUGGCCAUCACGCUGACGAAAGCCGGAGGCGAGGAGGAGGGGACGCCGUCGUCGACGACGAAGAAGAAGCGAUGCAGUGCGUGCCAGAGGAAGGUGGGGCUGCUGGGGUUCGUGUGCCGGUGCGGGGCCACCUACUGCGGCGCGCACCGCCACGCCGACGCGCACGGCUGCUUCUUCGACUACAGGGCAGCCGGCCGCGAGCAGAUCGCGCGCCAGAACCCGCUCGUCGUCGCGCCCAAGAUGGCAAGGGUUUGA
rnacentral:rRNA from 1 species